CCACCGUAAAGAAACCACCGUCCUGAACAACCACUGUUGGAACCUGCCUUCAGUUCUUCCAAUUUUUUCUCCAUGAAGAUACGACGUCUUUCUAAGUUUUCAAGGCGAAACUCGUUUUACAUUUACAGAUCAACUCUACAAGGCAUUACAAGAUGCAGGGCUUAUCCCUUUCAAGGAUAAUGAUGACAUUGAAAGAGGUGAAGAUCUUCAGCCAGAAAUCGAGAGAGGAAUUAGAGAAUCCAGAGCAUCAAUUGUUGUACUCUCUAAACACUAUGCGACUUCUAGAUGGUGUCUUGACGAGCUAUGCUUAAUCCUGGAUCAAGCAACUAAGCGAAGGCAUUUUGUUUUACCGAUUUUUUAUCAUGUUGACCCUGCACAUGUUAGGAAUCAAGAGGAGAGUUUUAGAAUAAAUGUGAUACCCAAUGAUACAAAGUGGACAGAAGAUAACGUUGAAAGGUGGAAGGCAGCCCUUAAGAAGGUUGGCAAUAUGGCUGGCGAAGUUCCUAGUGGUGUUUUGAUGCAGGCCUGAAACAAAGUUUUCU